UUCCUUGCUGGCACAAUCAUCAGCUCCCAUUGUUAUCACAAAAUCACAACAGAUUCAUUCCUGCUUUUCCAUUUUUACCCCUCCCUCUUCUUCUGUGUCUUGUGGCGGUGUUGGUAAAUCUCUCUCACUUACAUACAUACAUGCACAGACACAUAGAUAUAUAGAUAUAUACAUAUAUAUAUAUACAGAUCUCUCUCUCUCUCUAUGAGACUUGUAACAAACAACACAUUUUCCCCCUUUUUCUUCAACAACCCUUCAACCAUGGCGGGAUUUGGUGGCGGCCACUGUUUCCCGUACCCUCUAUUCGCUGUCAUCACCAUUCUUGCUGUUGUUCAUUCGAUUAUUGCUUCCAUUGCUUCUCUUCAGUUGCUGAGGAUUCACUUGAGAAGUUUGCAGCAAGGUUGGACUCGGCAAAAAGUGUUUCAUCUAUUGAUUGGCUCUUCGAAUUGGGGUUACUCGAUUUAUUUGGCAUUGAUACUUCUUGCUGCUUGCAAGGAAUUGACAUAUUGGUCACACUCUUGUGGUUUUAUCUUUAUGGCACUCCCCAAAGUACUUUUUUUUGCAGCAUUUCUUCUUCUUUUAUCCUUCUGGGUUGACCUAUGCCACCAGCCAGACGAUGACGAUGACUAUGAAGGAAGUUUUUCCGAGGAACCUUUGCUGGGAAAGACUUCAAAUGAAUUAAUUUUAUUGAACAGGGAUAGGCAUAGAAAGUGUUUUCCUAUUCGUUUUUCUCGUAUCGGAUACCGUCAAAAGAUUGUGACUAUGGUUUUGUUGCUACUUCUCAUCACCAUUAUGGCAUUUGCUGUAAUAAUUUGGAUUGGGCUAGGAAAGAAUCCCAUUGACUCUGAAGUGGUAGCACGGGUGUACUUGGAUAUUUCUGCUAUUGGAAUGCUUUUCUUAGGAGGCGCACUGGCAUGUUAUGGAAUCCUGUUGUGCUUGAAGAUGAGCAAAGUGAGAGCUGAGAAACCUUCGUCUGAAAUGGGGAAGGUUGCAGGUUUGACUAUAGUCUCUGUAUUAUGUAUCACAUCAAGUUCCUGUGUAGAACUUUUAACGGACAUUCCUAUGAUGUUUCACUGGCAUCAGCAGCGUACUAUGAAUGAUGUUUGUGCCUCUCUUCUGCUGAUUUUGUAUUUUUUUGUGGGUUCAUCAAUACCUUCAGCAGUGGUACUGUGGGUAAUGAGAGAAUUACCACCAGCAGAAGCUGAUGAUGUAGUAGAAGAAUCAAGUACAAUAGCUUUUGUUCCUGAUAAUUCGGUUGUUGUUCAUCAUCCUCAGCGAUGGACUACAGCAACAAGCGUGCAGAAUCAGUAGAAAAAUAAUUUUUUACAUGGAUUGCUCUUGACGGUUGGGGCUUUAAGAUUCAAAUUCAUAUUAGUCACAAGACAUCAAGAGCUAGUCCUAUAUAAUCUUUGCAUGUAAAUCUUCUUGUUCCGCUGGAGCUUCGGCACAGCUUAUUGGAGUUUCUUCGGAAUAUGUUGAACCUUAGAGCAAAGAUGAGAGAAAAUGAUGAUGGUGGGUGCAAGUACUACAGGCCUUAUAGUUUCCAAUUCCAAUGUACUUGCAUUUUAAAUCUAACUGUAUAGAGUAGUGAUUUGAUAUAUGAAAAUUUCUUUUUGUGCUAUACAAGUUUUGGGAUACAAUGGUUGUUGGGAAUCGCUGGGUUCAAAUAACAAUUGCCUAAUGUGAAUAUAAAUGUUGCCAACCAAGCAUGUUCUUCCAA